GGAGGAAUCUCAGUCCUGCACCAUUGCAAUUAAUCCAUACUUUUCUGGAAGUCCUGAAAUUACAAAUGAUGCAGAAAUGAAGAGGUUGAUGUGGCCUAAAGGGAAGAGGAGACACAGAAACGCAGAAAGUCUCCCUCCACUGAACUAAAAACCAGGGACCUAACACCUUGUCAA